rnacentral:rRNA from 1 species
AACAGGAUUAGAUACCCUGGUAGUCCACGCCGUAAACGAUGUCGACUUGGAGGUUGUGCCCUUGAGGCGUGGCUUCCGGAGCUAACGCGUUAAGUCGACCGCCUGGGGAGUACGGCCGCAAGGUUAAAACUCAAAUGAAUUGACGGGGGCCCGCACAAGCGGUGGAGCAUGUGGUUUAAUUCGAUGCAACGCGAAGAACCUUACCUGGUCUUGACAUCCACAGAACUUUCCAGAGAUGGAUUGGUGCCUUCGGGAACUGUGAGACAGGUGCUGCAUGGCUGUCGUCAGCUCGUGUUGUGAAAUGUUGGGUUAAGUCCCGCAACGAGCGCAACCCUUAUCCUUUGUUGCCAGCGGUCCGGCCGGGAACUCAAAGGAGACUGCCAGUGAUAAACUGGAGGAAGGUGGGGAUGACGUCAAGUCAUCAUGGCCCUUACGACCAGGGCUACACACGUGCUACAAUGGCGCAUACAAAGAGAAGCGACCUCGCGAGAGCAAGCGGACCUCAUAAAGUGCGUCGUAAUCCGGAUUGGAGUCUGCAACUCGACUCCAUGAAGUCGGAAUCGCUAGUAAUCGUGGAUCAGAGUGCCACGGUGAAUACGUUCCCGGGCCUUGUACACACCGCCCGUCACACCAUGGGAGUGGGUUGCAAAAGAAGUAGGUAGCUUAACCUUCGGGAGGGCGCUUACCACUUUGUGAUUCAUGACUGGGGUGAAGUCGUAACAAGGUAACC